GGAAUAUUGCACAAUGGGCGAAAGCCUGAUGCAGCAAUGCCGCGUGUGUGAAGAAGGCCUGCGGGUUGUAAAGCACUUUCAGUAGAGAAGAAAAGCCUGGGGAUAAUACCCCCGGGUCUUGACAUUAACUACCGAAGAAGCACCGGCUAACUCCGUGCCAGCAGCCGCGGUAAUACGGAGGGUGCGAGCGUUAAUCGGAAUUACUGGGCGUAAAGCGCGCGUAGGCGGCCAGGUCAGUCGGAUGUGAAAGCCCGGGGCUUAACCUUGGAAUUGCAUUCGAUACUGCUUGGCUAGAGUAUGGUAGAGGGAAGUGGAAUUCCGGGUGUAGCGGUGAAAUGCGUAGAUAUCCGGAGGAACACCAGUGGCGAAGGCGACUUCCUGGACCAAUACUGACGCUGAGGUGCGAAAGCGUGGGGAGCA
rnacentral:rRNA from 1 species